UACGUAGGAUGCAAGCGUUGUCCGGAAUUAUUGGGCGUAAAGAGUUCGUAGGUGGUUAUCUAAGUCUGGUGUUGAAGACGGGAGCUCAACUCCCGCAUGGCAUCGGAAACUGGAUGGCUAGAGUGUGAAAGAGGUAACUGGAAUUCCUGGUGUAGCGGUGAAAUGCGCAGAUAUCAGGAGGAACACCUGUGGCGAAAGCGAGUUACUGGUUCAUUACUGACACUGAGGAACGAAAGCUAGGGUAGCAAAAGGG
rnacentral:rRNA from 1 species